GACGAACGCUGGCGGCGUGCUUAACACAUGCAAGUCGAACGGAAAGGCCCUGCUUGCAGGGUACUCGAGUGGCGAACGGGUGAGUAACACGUGGGUGAUCUGCCCUGCACUUCGGGAUAAGCCUGGGAAACUGGGUCUAAUACCGGAUAGGAGCCAUUUUUAGUGUGAUGGUUGGAAAGUUUUUUCGGUGUAGGAUGAGCUCGCGGCCUAUCAGCUUGUUGGUGGGGUAAUGGCCUACCAAGGCGGCGACGGGUAGCCGGCCUGAGAGGGUGGACGGCCACAUUGGGACUGAGAUACGGCCCCGACUCCUACGGGAGGCAGCAGUGGGGAAUAUUGCACGAUGGGCGCAAGCCUGAUGCAGCGACGCCGCGUGGGGGAUGACGGCCUUCGGGUUGUAAACUCCUUUCGCUAGGGACGAAGCUUUUUGUGACGGUACCUAGAUAAGAAGCACCGGCUAACUACGUG
rnacentral:rRNA from 1 species